rnacentral:rRNA from 1 species
UACGGAGGGUGCGAGCGUUGUCCGGAAUCACUGGGCGUAAAGGGCGCGUAGGCGGCGCGAGUAGUCAACGGUGAAAGCCCGGGGCUCAACCCCGGGUCGGCCGUCGAUACUCUCGUGCUUGAGCACUGUAGAGGCAGGUGGAAUUCCGGGUGUAGCGGUGGAAUGCGUAGAGAUCCGGAAGAACACCAGUGGCGAAGGCGGCCUGCUGGGCAGUUGCUGACGCUGAGGCGCGACAGCGUGGGGAGCAAACAGG